rnacentral:rRNA from 1 species
AUUGAACGCUGGCGGCAUGCUUUACACAUGCAAGUCGGACGGCAGCACAGAGAAGCUUGCUUCUUGGGUGGCGAGUGGCGAACGGGUGAGUAACAUAUCGGAACGUACCGAGUAAUGGGGGAUAACUAAUCGAAAGAUUAGCUAAUACCGCAUAUUCUCUGAGGAGGAAAGCAGGGGACCUUUUGGCCUUGCGUUAUUCGAGCGGCCGAUAUCUGAUUAGCUAGUUGGUGGGUAAAGGCCUACCAAGGCGACGAUCAGUAGCGGGUCUGAGAGGAUGAUCCGCCACACUGGGACUGAGACACGGCCCAGACUCCUACGGGAGGCAGCAGUGGGGAAUUUUGGACAAUGGGCGCAAGCCUGAUCCAGCCAUGCCGCGUGUCUGAAGAAGGCCUUCGGGUUGUAAAGGACUUUUGUCAGGGAAGAAAAGGCUGUUGCUAAUAUCGACAGCUGAUGACGGUACCUGAAGAAUAAGCACCGGCUAACUACGUGCCAGCAGCCGCGGUAAUACGUAGGGUGCGAGCGUUAAUCGGAAUUACUGGGCGUAAAGCGAGCGCAGACGGUUUACUUAAGCAGGAUGUGAAAUCCCCGGGGCUCAACCUGGGAACUGCGUUUCUGAACUGGGUGACUAGAGUGUGUCAGAGGGAGGUAGAAUUCCACGUGUAGCAUUGAAAUGCGUAAAGAU